CACAAGGCAAAGAGGCAAGACAGUCCUGUGCUCAGGAGAGCAAACACCCAUGACAACAACUUCCUAACACCCAGAAAUGCAGGCAACGGAACAGAGAUCCAAGAGUAACACACAGCAACUGGACCCUGGACAGGAAAUCUAUUACACUGAAAUCUAUUACAGGAAAUCUAUUACUGCUCUCAAGUAUCUGCUUUUGGAUGCCUUCCUGAGAUGUAAUCCAGCUAGGAAAACAGGACCCUAGAGCAAUUUCAGUUUUCCUUUGGGUAGAACCUGCAGGACAACACUGAUCCCGUAAGAUCACAGCGUGUUCUGACCCUGUUCAGAGCUAAGGAUCCUCAGGACCUGUGGACCUGCAGCACCAGUUCCUGCUGGGAGGCCUCUGACCUUUUACCAGGAGCUGUUUCAAGACAAACAGUGACAAACUUAACUACGGAUCCUGCUCUGGGUGACACUUAAGUGACAGUUCAGGUUGACACCUCGACUGUGCUUUCCAUAACUCUACAACCUUCUGCAAUGGCAGUGGGACAAUGAUUUCAUAUGCCAAUGUUUCAAAGUG